rnacentral:rRNA from 1 species
UACGUAGGGUGCGAGCGUUGUCCGGAAUUAUUGGGCGUAAAGGGCUCGUAGGCGGUUUGUCGCGUCGGGAGUGAAAAUCCAGGGCUUAACUCUGGACUGGCUUCCGAUACGGGCAGACUAGAGGUAUGCAGGGGAGAACGGAAUCCUGGUGUAGCGGUGAAAUGCGCAGAUAUCAGGAGGACACCGGUGGCGAAGGCGGCUACCUGGCCCAACAUUGACACUGAGACCCGAAAGCGUGGGGAUCAAACAGG